rnacentral:lncRNA from 1 species
CGCUCAAUCACAGUGAGUACCGACACUAAAUCACUCAUUAGAUUUCUAUUAUUCCGGUCAUAUCGAAGCUAUUUAUUCAUUUGUUGCUCAUUAAUACAUGUAUUCUUUGUUCUUCAAUCUUUUCUAUGAAACAUUAGUUUGCACUUUUGCCACUCAUUUGUCUAAACCACUCUGCAGUACAUCUCCUCUUUGAAGGAAUCGGUUACUUGCUUUCCUGCCGGCUUGUGUUAUACUAUGCAUGUCUUAUUGUUCAAGUUCUUAAUUACUUGCUUGUGUAUCUGCUGAUAAUGAGUUACAACAUAUAUCUAGCUUCGGGUACACAAGGAUUUGAAGGGUACCAAAGGAUUAGGUUCUUCUUUUUCUCGGUGCUAAUAAAUUCUAAGUUAAAAAAUUGUUAAUACUCCAAUAUUCCUCAACUUUUCAAGCUCGUUUGUUGAGACAGAGUAUAAUAUACACUAUUGUGGUACAAAAGGAGUACUACAUAUGGAAUUUUGUGUUUGCAACUAAGAAUGUUUCUCUUUCUAAAACUAAUGUACUGUAAAACUACAAUAAUUUAGCCUGUGGGUAUAAAAUACUGUGGUUUUGACAUAACAAAGUAUUUUGGAGUAUUGAGAAUACCGUGGACCUGUUUAGCAAGUUUUUAUGCUCCAACUUAUUUUGAAGUAGUUUUCAAACGUGUACAUUGCUAUCUAGUUUCAGACGUGCCGCAUUGCUAGCUAGCCAGAUGUUGCAACAAAAAGUUAUAAAUGAGAAUAUACCACGUCCGAAUCAUAAACCGGAAGGAGGCCGAAGGAGAUGGAUAUCAAAACCAUGCCACUGUAUAACAAACAACGUCCGGGUAAGGAAAUUAUACUGUGGUUUUGACAUAACAGAGUAUUUUGGACUAUUGAGAAUACCGUGGACCUUUUUAGCAAGUUAUGCACCUACGUAUUUUGAAGUAGUUUUCAAACGUGCGCAUUGCUAUCUAGUUUCAGACGUGCCGCAUUGCUAGCUAGCAAGAUGUUGCAAACUGAUGAACAGCCAUGCACAGAACACUGGCAUGCACAAGCUAGACCGGUGAAAUACUCUGGUUACUGCAGUAGUUGCGUGUGAAGAAGUAAAAAAACUGCAGGUACUGAAUUUAGAAGUCACGCUUCUCUGUCUACUGAUACCCCGCUCUUUCUAGAACCAUGCAUUCCUGUCCAGAACCCAAAUGCCAGCUUUGCCUUGUGCACGCAUUCAACGACACCUGACCUAACUGCACUCUGCAUCCUUAGCUUUCAUUUGUCUGACCACUAUCUUGACAUAGCAACAACCAAGCUUACAUUUUUCAGAAGUGUCUUUGUUAUUUUACAG